ACAUAUCCAGAUGGUCUGACGUCACCACCACGCUAAAUCUUUCCCAGUGUUAUAAACAUGGCGAAGCAGUUAACAAAACCUGCACCAAACUUUGGGUCCUUUCUGAACCUCUUCCCGGAGGCAGGCUGCCUCUGGAAAAAAGAGCAAUGAACCCUUCUUCCAGAACACCAGGCAAGAAUACAAAGGCCUGGAGACCUUUUAUUCAGUGUACACCUAAAUAAGUUGUAUGGCUUCCUGUACAUCCUUCAGAAGCAGACAAAUCUCUACAAGAGUCUCUCUGUCCCCGGUGAAGAUUUCAGUUAGUGAAUUUGUUUUAUUACUCGUUAUGUUGUAUGAGACAGUCAGAUUUAUUUAUACAUUUAAUUUAUCCUUUUUCAUCCGGAUGCUGACUAUGUAGUCGGCCUCAUCACUCCUGAAAUGAGCAGGAGAGGAACCUUCAGGACUGCCAUAGUCAGAAACUUUAAGGACUUUGUUCAAGAUGUGGAAAGGAGGAAUGGAGGAAAAGGCAGUGCACAGUGAACUUGGAGGAGAGGAAGAAGAUGGACAAGUGGAGCUAUCCAGUCGAACAGUUUUCACUGUCCCUAAAGUUAUGCUAUGGGUCAGGGACAAGUAUUUAUACAAAUAAUUUUUAAAUGUAGGCCUUAGACACUCACUGUAAAUAAGACAAAUAAAACACAAUAUUUUACCCUUUUGACCUCCAUACAGCAAAGUGGCACAUCCCAAAUUAUGCUGAGCUGCAGGUCACCAGUCUAUGGUCCAUGAAGUGUCAGUCAUGGUGCAGCAUGGUGCAUUGUCCAGAAAAUGUUCGAAUUUUCAAACUACUUUUCAUCGGGACGGCAGAUAAAGCAAUCGCUUACAUGUGAUCACAGAAUCCUACUCAUUACUCCACCUGCUUAAUUGCAUCACUUGUUUUUGUUACAUAUUGUAUCACAUGACAUUCUGUUGAUUUGUAUCUAUUUGAAUGUUUAUUUUCUGUCAAAAGGAUUACCUUUUCCCAUAGUUAAAGAAUUGACUUAAUGACUGCAGCUCUUUGUAUUCAAACACUUCCAUUUUAGUCAUUUAAAUAAAUGUUGUCCAUAGUGUGGUGGUAGAAUGUGGUGAGCUGGUCUGUAGCCUAUUCUGUGUUGGACUGUGAUUUGCCUCUCAGACUCCUGGUAUGUCUGCACCCUAACACAAUGCAAUUGUGUUCUGGAACUGUUGCUUGUAAAAAUAACUUGUGUAGCAAUGGGAUUGUAUUCUCUCAUUAUAUAAGGGACAUGUAACCAUUUACUCUGAGUUCUUCCCAGUGAAAUCAGAGACAUCCCCUGCAGCUCCUUGAUUAAAGAUGUUUCUAUUAUACAA